rnacentral:lncRNA from 1 species
UGUGUGGAUAAUUAUUAGUCCAACUAGACAUGAUUUCGUUAAGGGUAUGAGCUUUCAUAUUCUGUAAACCAGUGUGUCCAGAGUUCCAAGCAGUUUUCUCCAUGAAGGGUUGGAUUCUACAACCCAUGCAGCUACCCAGACCUUCUCAAGUACCAAUAUGCUAAGAGCAAUCCAUCAACUCUACUCAACAAGCAGAACCUCAAACCCGCAUAGCAAGUACUGCAGAUUGAACCCAGGGCCUCUCACAUGGUAAGCAACUGAGCUACAUCUAUGGCCCUUGUUUCUUUUUAACUAUUAUUUGACUUUGGUUUGUAUACUCUAGCCAACUCAAUAAGGCAGGAAAAAAGAAAUGAGUCUGCCCAUUUCCCAGUUUCAUGAUGCUAUCUCCCAUGAUGUUAUCACUCAUGGCUCAGCAGUACGUCUAAAGCUACUGGCUGCUGGUUUCAUCAAGUAUAUACACUUUUUGUAGCUUGAUUAUCUUUUUUCCCAAUAUUUGAGACUGAAGCCAAGGCCUUCAUACUGAGCUACAUCCCUGGCUUUUUUUUUUAACUCAUCUGUAUUUAUUUAUUUAUUUAUUUAUUAUUUCUAUUUUGAGAUAGUACUUAGCAACUUAGUGAGACCCCAUCUCCAGGUUGGGUUUGAGCUUUGAUCUUCCUGCCUCAGCCUCUCAGAGUGCUGGGAUUACAUGCCUGUGCCGGCACACCCAGUCAGUCGUAGCUUGAUUUUUUAAAAAGUCUAAGCAAACUCUGAAUAAGUAAAUACCAAAAGCCUUAAUAAAUACUAUGUUUUACUCCUUUUCUCUACUUACAUGAUUAUUUCAAGAGAGGAUAUUCAGGGGCCGAGGAUUUAGCUCAGUGGUUUCGCCGUCUGCUACCCAAGUGCAAGGACCAGAGUUCGAUCCCCGGUACCAAAAAAAAAAAAAAGAGAGGAUAUUCUGAUAUUAAGCCCUUUUAUCUGGUGCAAAGUCUGUGUGGUUGCUACUUAGUACCACUAAACUCAAUCUGUGACUUUAUCUGGCAUUUUUUAUGCCCACGCCAGAGCUCACUCUUUAGCCUUCUUUUUAUAUAAUCUUUGUAAUGGUGCUGGUCCCCAGAGCUGUACUAGCAUUGUAAAAUCAAUUAUCCCAGACACUCUGGCUCUCUUCCUAGACUCUGGAAAAGUUUGUUUUGCAGGCAAUUCUUUGGUUCCCCCAACUUUAAAAGAACUUACCCAUUAAACUUAUUCAUCCUGGGCCCUUUUUAGAAGUUUUUUGUUUUUUUUUAAUGUCUAGCUUCUUCCUUAGUUCCUGGUUUAAAGUUUCAGACAUCUGAAUCAUUUCCCUGAAAUACACAUGACACUGAGGUUUUCAAAGUUGUUAUAUUUUAAGUUAUUGUGUUUUAUAUUACAAAAUAAUGAUUCCAAAUGUAACUUGUAAUUUGUUAGUCUUUUUCCAUCCCAACAACUCAUUUUUAGUUUUGACUAUGUGGUUUUCUCUUUUCUUAAUUAGACAUGAUAGUGCUUUAGUCUAUUUUCCUGAUUUUUUUUCUCAAAUAGCUCUUAGAUUUAUCCACUCAACACUUCUGUCUGUUUUUCUAAUUCACAAAUAUCAAUUCUACCUUACAAUUCUUUACUCCAGCUGUCUCUAGGCUUGUUUUAUUCUUUCUAACUUUGAGCUGAACACUUAAUCCAUUUAUUUUCAUUUUCUCUUAUUUAAUAAUGAAGGGAUUUCAAGCUAUGAAUGUGCCCCUAAAUAUAACUUUGGUAAUAACCAAAAUGGUUAUCGAAAUAACCAUUUAAAUAUACAGAGUUUUCACUACUGCCUAAUGAUUCUGUAAUAGUAAUUUCAUUUCCUCUUUGACCCACACUUGAUUCUGGAGAAUUCUUUUUAAUUUUCAAGUAACUGGAUUUCAUUAACAUGUUUAACACUAAGUAUUCCAUGGAAGAGGAAAACACCUCUGAAAGAAAAU